UCUUGACAUCCCGAUGCUAUUCUAGAGAUAGAAAGUUACUUCGGUACAUCGGUGACAGGUGGUGCAUGGUUGUCGUCAGCUCGUGUCGUGAGAUGUUGGGUUAAGUCCCGCAACGAGCGCAACCCCUAUUGUUAGUUGCCAUCAUUCAGUUGGGCACUCUAGCGAGACUGCCGGUAAUAAACCGGAGGAAGGUGGGGAUGACGUCAAAUCAUCAUGCCCCUUAUGACCUGGGCUACACACGUGCUACAAUGGUUGGUACAACGAGUUGCGAGUCGGUGACGGCGAGCUAAUCUCUUAAAGCCAAUCUCAGUUCGGAUUGUAGGCUGCAACUCGCCUACAUGAAGUCGGAAUCGCUAGUAAUCGCGGAUCAGCACGCCGCGGUGAAUACGUUCCCGGGCCUU
rnacentral:rRNA from 1 species